rnacentral:lncRNA from 1 species
UAGAGUGCGGCAUGAUGCCGUCAUUUACGGUGCAGACAAUGGGAGAGUUGUUAAAUCGUCGGAGACUGUCAGAGUCGCCGUGGGGCUGUCAAGUUGCCGUGGGACUGUCAAAUCACUAGGGUUGACCCAUGCCUCAGGUGGGACAAUAUCCCAGGGUGGCUACUCCGCACGCCUUUGUCAGGGUGGUGGUCCACAGCAGUCGUACGGCAUUCGGGGGAACCGACCGACUGUACGCCGACGUCUGGUUGAGGAAUAUCGGGUGAAAGUCCAGGGACCCUCCGACGGAUAGUCGGGGAUGU